rnacentral:rRNA from 1 species
AGUAUUAAGAGAGUGCGAGCUUUGCCUGCCAUCUCUUACCCAUGUCUUUUGAGUACCUUCGUUUCCUCGGCGGGUUCGCCCGCCGAUUGGACAAAACUUAAACCCUUUGUAAUUGAAAUCAGCGUCUGAAAAAAACAUAAUAGUUACAACUUUCAACAACGGAUCUCUUGGUUCUGGCAUCGAUGAAGAACGCAGCGAAAUGCGAUAAGUAGUGUGAAUUGCAGAAUUCAGUGAAUCAUCGAAUCUUUGAACGCACAUUGCGCCCCUUGGUAUUCCAUGGGGCAUGCCUGUUCGAGCGUCAUUUGUACCUUCAAGCUCUGCUUGGUGUUGGGUGUUUGUCUCGCCUCUGCGCGCAGACUCGCCUCAAAACGAUUGGCAGCCGGCGUAUUGAUUUCGGAGCGCAGUACAUCUCGCGCUUUGCACUCACAACGACGACGUCCAAAAAGUACAUUUUUACACUCUUGACCUCGGAUCAGGUAGGGAUACCCGCUGAACUUAAGCAUAUCAAAA